rnacentral:rRNA from 1 species
GGUGCUUGGAUGGCUUCCGCAGAUAGGUGCAUCMUGCSUGGUGCAUCCUGAUACAAACAGUGUGGYUCGUCMGGUARGAGCCUCUAGUGGCCACCGCCGACGUGCGGGGUUUGGGCGCGGGUCCYUGUCGGGCUCSCGUCUGAACCUUAUGAAUGGACGUUCASAGCUGUUGUUCUAAUGSGGGUUGGCCCMCCMCAACACGUUGUGAGGUCACCCACAGGCUCAAACUGCCGAGCGCGAACCCAGAGUUACGGCUCAUAUGCGUGUACGACACUGCUUCCCCUCCUCUGCCAGAGGAGAGGGGGGCCUACACGUGCCUAAUCCUGGGUCGGGCRGCGACCGAGUUAAACCUGGUACSAUCCUCUUGCGACGAGUUGCAUUCUGGCCAGACCGGCGUCCCGGCCGUCUCCCUUUGCCGGAGGCGGUCSACCCCAGGCGGUUUGACCCUCUGUGUGAGUAACAUCAACAAGGUCUCUCAGCCGGGCGCUGGUCUGAGUGGUGUAGUGCC